rfam:Candidatus Pacebacteria bacterium RIFCSPLOWO2_01_FTLL_47_12 rifcsplowo2_01_scaffold_223, whole genome shotgun sequence.
GCACUCGUAGCUCAAUUGGAUAGAGCGUCUGUCUUCGGAACAGAAGGUUGUGGGUUCAAUUCCCGCCGAGUGCA